rfam:Aureimonas sp. Leaf324 contig_17, whole genome shotgun sequence.
GAGUUUCGCACGAGCCUUCUCCUCCCAAUCGGGCUCCUGCGGAUCCGCCCGACGGCAUCCUCCUCCCAGCCGAAGGGUACUCUCCGACGCCUGCCGGUCCUCCCCCGGCAGGCGUUUUUU